UUACCUGGAUGUUGGGGAAGCUUGGGAGGAUUGAUGGGGACCCGGCGUUGAGAGGAAAGAGGAUAUGGGCUACGUGGGAGUACGUGAGCUCAGUUGGAGGUGGGCAACAAGGGAUGAUGGGUUUAUACGUGAUUUGUGGAUGUGGAAAACUUGCUGUGCACCAUCGCCCGAUCGCCACCUAGUACCACAUGUGAUGGGUACCCCAUAAUCCUACAAGCUUGAGAUGAGGAAGUGUAGAAGGG
rnacentral:lncRNA from 1 species